CCUGUGGUGGCAAACACCACCAGCACACAUGCACUCACACUGGUGCCACCACCUCUGCCUUGGGCCUCUGUGUCCUUGAGCAGAUAUGUGGUGGUGGACCAGAGAAGCAUUUCUUUCCAGCAAGGCAAAAGGCAUGCACUCACUGCACACACACACACACACACACGAAGAGGUGAAGACGAGAAGAGGCAACUUCUAGAACCAGCAGCAGCAGUAAAUCCUCAGGUUCCUUGGAUGAUCAGGAAUUCUUCAAUAAGAAGGCCAAUAACUAAGGACAAGCCUCUCCUGACAGUCAGCUUGGCCACAGCUAUCUACCUCCCCUGUUGCAUGUUGAAAGAAGUCACUCAGCAUAUGUUUGUGGUGGGAAUAAAACAUCUAAUCUAUAGAAAAGCAGUUUUAAGAGGAAGUUUUUCUAGGACGGCAACAUUUCACCAGAAAAUGACAGAUGCCUCUUUGGUUCAUAAAUGACACACAUACCGCACAGCAAUCUGUCAGGCAUUUGCUGAAAUUAGAAGAUUUUUUAAAAUGCCACCAAAAAAAGUCUAUUGGAAAAAAAUCAAUCCUAAAUCCAAGAAAGUGAAAUUGUUAAGAAAAGCUGAGACCCCCCUCAAUAGCAUGAGGCCCAACUUGAUAACAUCCAGAUAAGACAAGCCAAAUCAAGGGUGCGGAAACCACUGAACAAUGUGAGGCCUGACUUGAAUACGAUCAAAUAAGACAUGCUGAAUUUAGGGAAAGAUUUAUACAGUCUGAUUUGAAACUGGUGGCAUUUGGUUAUAAUCCAAGUUUCAAUUACCAAUUUCACCCAAGAGUUUUGACUGGGAAAAUGGAUGCAUUAUGUGAUCAUUGUGGAGCAAUGACAUUUAAAACGGAUGCACCUGGAAAGUGGUAUUCAAAUGGAAAAGUUAAACUACUGCCUUUAAUUCAACCUCGCCUUUCUUAUAUGUCAGGAACUACUCCAGAACUGAAACAUUUCCAGAAAAACAUAUGGAGAUACAAUUCAUGCUUCCAAAUGCCAUCUUUUGGUAGGUACAACCACAAGAGUGGAAGAAACUGGCUACAGGCCUACUUUUAAAGUGCAAGGCCAAGUUUAUCACCAAUCUGGAUAAUUUCUUCCCCUGUCGAAUGAGAAUGCAAUCUUUUCCCAACAGGAUUAAUCCCCAAAUUACUGGCAGUAGAACCACAAGCAUCCUGGUGCAAGGAAAUAACGCAUAAGCUUUCCUGCUGUGGAUUAUCUCCCGCCUUUUUGUUGGAGGCUGGUGUGACUACAGCUCGCAAAUUGGUGCAGCAAAGACUGGUCGAUAUAGAAAUACAAAAUGAGAAGGCUCUUUUACCACAAUUUUACAAAUCUUUACAGCUUAAGACAGAUUUAAGCCCAGCUACUUAUUUGUUUAUUAUUACUCAAUGUAAUCAUAGAUGGGCUUUCUCUAGGGCGAGGUUUAAUGCUUUCCCAUCAGCACUUUUAUACGGGAAAUACAACAAAUUGCCCUACGAAAAGUGCAUAUGUCCUUGCGGCCAGGAGAUUGAGUCAAUGGCCCAUAUUCUAUUAAAGUAUAAAAUACAGCCUGCUGGCUAUCGAUGACAGUGUCAUAGGAAGCUGCCAUAUACUGAGUCAGAUCAUUGGUCUAUCUAGCUCAGUAUUUUAUCCAACUGAGUUCCUCAACUCUUUGGUACCACCUGGUAUGCUGCAGCCCAACUUAAUUUUAAAAAUUGGAAAUUGGAGCCCCGAUAAUGUUACUGCAUAAUCUUGACUCACCUAAAUUGUGUCAUGGAACCAGACUAUGUGUGAAGAACCUCAUGCCAAACAUUAUAGAAGCAACAAUAUUAACAGGCCAUGCCAAAGGUUAACCAGAGGUUCCUGAUACCCACUGACAUGCCUUUCGAUUUCAAGCGACUGCAAUAUCCUGUGCGAAUUGCAUUUGCUGUGACUAUAAACAAGGCUCAAGGAGAGUCACUUGAAAUAGCAGGCAUUAACUUAGAAAAUCCAUGCUUUUCACAUGGACAACUAAAUGUUGCUUGCUCCAGAGUGGGCACACCAAGAAAUUUAUUCAUUUUUGCACCUGACAGCAAAACCAAAAAUGUUGUUUAUCAACAAGCAUUGGAAUAAUAACCAUGUUGCCAUAUUAAAUAUAACAAUAAUAAGUAAAUAUGAAACAAUGUAAUAAAUUAUAUGAAUUUUAACUUAUGUGAAUUAAAAGAAAAACAUUAUGAAUUAAUCAUAAUAUCGUAGUUUGAUUUUUAAAUUUCAAGAAAUCAGUAUGCCCUAAGUUUCUAUAAACUGUUGUUAUAAGUCUGAGCAAUGCUGAGUACCUAAAGCAAGUGUAAUAAUAAAUGAAAAUAUUUUCUUUAUAGGAUUUCCUGUACAAACUAUUCUGUGCAAUAUCCUGUUCAGGUUAAACUAUCUAAUGCCAAAUGGCAAAAGCUACAAUGAGAAAGAGGUUUAGGACACCAGUGAUGUAUGCUGAUAUGAUUAAUUAUUCAGAGUCAAUGAAGUAUGACAAACAGGGGCGUAGCAAGGUUGGAGGGGGCCCAGAAACAAGAUUUUAAAAUGCCCCCCCCACUCUGCACUGAAGCGCAGCUCAUGAAGUAAAGAAAUCUUAAAUGAGGCGGAAUAGUGGUAACAAUAAAACAUCAGCCUAAAUUAUGUUUUAAAAGGUUAUGUAAAUUGUGGACGAUGCAAGUCAGUUAAUGGUACUAGAGAAGCUGCCAUAUACUGAGUCAGACCAUUGGUCUAUCUAGCUCAGUAUUGUCUUCACAGACUGGCAGCGGCUGCUCCAAGGUUGCAGGCAGGAAUCUCUCUCAGCCCUAUUUUGGAGAAGCCAGGGAGGAAACUUGAAACCUUCUGCUCUUCCCAGAGCGGCUCCAUCUCCUGAGGGAAAUAGCUUCCAGUGCUCACAUUUCUAGUGUCCCAUUCAAAUGCAACCAGGGUGGACCCUGCUUAUUAAAGGGGUCAAUAUAGGACUUGUCAAUAGACUUGUAUGUUGUGGCAUCUCCAGGCAGCUGAUUCUGUAUUUGGAGAUUAAGCUCAGUAUUCACAAACCCUGAUUCUCUCUACAUAGUGCCAAUCUGAAUAUGUGUACAGUGACUUAUAUUAAUUUUUUUUAAAAAAAUUUACCUAUAGCCCCUUUGGGGGGCUUCCUAAAGGCUGUGAGGUGGGGGGUCUGCAAAGGUCCCCCAACCCCCCACUGGCCUCUAGGGCCUCACAGGGACCAUUUGAGCAUGUGCGGUGGCCAUUUUGUUUUUGGCGGCCAUUUUUAAAAAAACAAUUAUUAUUUUUAGAAAUGGCACCCCCCUUCAAGUGGCACCCGGGGCACGUGCCCUGCCUGCCCCACCAUAGGUAUGCCCCUGCGGGGUGGGAGAGUGAGUGACAGGCUGGGGGGCGGGACUUCUGACCCACUUCUAGCCCUGUAAGUGUUCUCAACGGCAUUCUUUUUCAAUGCUUGAAUAGGGCUCAUGUGGGUAAGCUACUUCCAGAUCCUUUAAAACUUUAAAGAAUAGCCUAAACACUUUAAAUUGAGUGACGCUGCAUUGACAGCAAUUGAUAUAUUUCCCCCUGCAGAAGUUGUGCUGCCAUACAACAGAUAUUGUUGUGCUUUAUGUAAAUGUAGGUAUUUUUAUACAUGUGCUUGGAGGACUGUUGAAUGAAAUAUUUAGGCAUAGAGAUUUUUAAGGUACUUUGAAUUAGGAUAGUAGCAAAUGGCUUUUUGCAGCUACCUUCCUUUUAGAUUUCAAACAGCUGUACUGGCUUUCUGGCUAUCAUUCAAUAUUUGUAAAACUUCUAGCAAUACAACUUCCUAAACGUUCUCCAAGUGUGAUGUGAAUACUAUGAGAAAUAAUGUAACUAAAUGCCUAAUCUUUCUGAAAAUAGAUUUAUAGCACAAUCCUAUGUACAUCUACUCAGAAGUAAGUCCUACUGAGUUCAGUGGGACUUACUCCCAGUUAAGUGUGUCUAGGAUUGUAGCCUUAUUCACACAGGUGUCCCAGAUCAAACAUCUUCUUUCAGGAAUUUAAAUUAUAAGAUUGCAGAAACUCAGUCUAAAAAUGAGAAAAGAUAGCUCCCAUUUGUAGUUUUGUGCCUGCAAUAAUUUUGCCCUUGGUUGUAGGAGUCAAUCAUAUUGCCACACUCCUUCAGUGGUAUUCAGAUGGCCAUUGAGCCAAGUCUGAUGGAAGGAGACUGUGCUGGUUGCCUAGCAACUAUGAGAUGUGCUCAUCAACCACUAGGGAUGUGCAUGAAACUGAUCUUGUGUUUUGUUUCGAGCUCGACAAAAGGCAGACAGCCAGAACGUUUUGUUGAAAUAGCGGUUGACCCGGUUGUUUUGAUGAAACAAAACUCGAAAGGUUUCAUGUAUUUCAGCCAUAGGGGAAAAUGGGGAAACUCAAAGUACCCCAUUGUUCCCCAUGGAUAGCUUCUAGGGACACCAAAGUGGGUUGAUUGGUAAGGCAUGAUGGGUGCUACCUUCCACCCAAUCUACAAAAGAAAUAGCCAAGCAGGUGAUUUUCAACAUAUUUUAAACCUUUCUCCAAAACCCCUAUAAGAUCAGAAGCCAAUGCCAGAAAAUCAAUAAGCAAGGGGAAAACAGGCCUCCAAAACGGUGCUUGAAACAUCCAAAUAUUUUGACUUGAAACAGGCCCUUUAUUUAAAGCAGGGAUUCUCAACGUGUGGGUCCCCAGAUGUAAUUGGAC